CUCAGUCAAUAAGAAGCUCAUGGUGGGAAGGCCCAGUCAGACAGCAGAUCCAUGGUGCUGAGGCUCAGUCAAUAAGAAGCUCAUGUUGGGAAGGCCCAGUCAGACAGUAGAUCCAUGGUGCUGAGGCUCAGUCAAUAAGAAGCUCAUGGUGGGAAGGCCCAGUCAGACAGUAGAUCCAUGGUGCUGAGGCUCAGUCAAUAAGAAGCUCAUGUUGGGAAGGCCCAGUCAGACAGUAGAUCCAUGGUGCUGAGGCUCAGUCAAUAAGAAGCUCAUGUUGGGAAGGCCCAGUCAGACAGUAGAUCCAUGGUGCUGAGGCUCAGUCAAUAAGAAGCUCAUGUUGGGAAGGCCCAGUCAGACAGUAGAUCCAUGGUGCUGAGGCUCAGUCAAUAAGAAGCUCAUGGUGGGAAGGCCCAGUCAGACAGUAGAUCCAUGGUGCUGAGGCUCAGUCAAUAAGAAGCUCAUGGUGGGAAGGCCCAGCCAGACAGUAGUUUCACUUGGGCAAGUCUCAGUCUGA